UACGAAGGGUGCUAGCGUUGCUCGGAAUUACUGGGCGUAAAGCGCACGUAGGCGGAUUGUUAAGUCGGGGGUGAAAUCCUGGAGCUCAACUCCAGAACUGCCUUCGAUACUGGGGAUCUCGAGUUCGGGAGAGGUGAGUGGAACUGCGAGUGUAGAGGUGAAAUUCGUAGAUAUUCGCAAGAACACCAGUGGCGAAGGCGGCUCACUGGCCCGAUACUGACGCUGAGGUGCGAAAGCGUGGGGAGCAAACAGG
rnacentral:rRNA from 1 species